rnacentral:sRNA from 1 species
CUAUAGCUUCCCCAUUUAAAAAAAAUAACUAGAUUUUAACCCGGGUAUACCGCGGGACGAUUUAUUUUUAAAAGUAAUAUAUAUUAAAAUUUGCAAAUUUUAUUUUUACAAAAUAUUUAUAUUUUACAGUUUAUUAUUGUUAUUAAGUAACGCUAUACCACGAAUUCCUGAGACAAUUGUUAAAAAAACUGAAGUUUUGACCCCUAUUAAAAUAGCAUAUUAAUAAU